rnacentral:rRNA from 1 species
CCCUUAGAUGUCCUGGGCCGCACGCGCGUUACACUGAUGCAUUCAACGAGCUUAUAACCUUGGCCGAGAGGCCUGGGCAAUCUUGUUAACGUGCAUCGUGAUAGGGAUAGAUUAUUGAAAUUAUUAAUCUUGAACGAGGAAUUCCUAGUAAACGCAGAUCAUCAAUCUGCAUUGAUUACGUCCCUGCCCUUUGUGCACACCGCCCGUCGCACCUACCGAUUGGAUGGUCCGGUGAAGCCUCGGGAUUGUGGUUCUUGCCGCUUUAUUGUGGCGUGACCGCGAGAACUUGUCUAAACCUUAUCAUCUAGAGGAAGGUGAAGUCGUAACA